UUAUGUAGUAGUUUUGCGGCA
rnacentral:piRNA from 1 species